AUCUCUCCCUCCCAUCCAUAUCUUUCCCCUACAUCUUUCCCUCCCUUUUAUAUUUCUCCCCCACAUCUCUCCGUCCCUUUCGUAUCUCUCCUUGCCAUCCAUAUCUUUCCCUUCCCAAAGAACUGGAUACUAUGUAGACAGCAUCCGUAGCUUGGCAUAAAUAGUGAGCUUUACCUUAACUAAUUUCAUUGUCAGCUAGUCCACAAAACAUUUGUUCCCUCUCAAGUUUCCAUACUUACAAUACAUA